rnacentral:rRNA from 1 species
UACGAAGGGGGCUAGCGUUGCUCGGAAUCACUGGGCGUAAAGCGCACGUAGGCGGCUCUUUAAGUCAGGGGUGAAAUCCUGGAGCUCAACUCCAGAACUGCCUUUGAUACUGAGGAGCUCGAGUCCGGGAGAGGUGAGUGGAACUGCGAGUGUAGAGGUGAAAUUCGUAGAUAUUCGCAAGAACACCAGUGGCGAAGGCGGCUCACUGGCCCGGUACUGACGCUGAGACGCGAAAGCGUGGGGAGCGAACAGG